AUUGAACGCUGGCGGCAUGCCUUACACAUGCAAGUCGAACGGCAGCACGGGUGCUUGCCCCUGGUGGCGAGUGGCGAACGGGUGAGUAAUACAUCGGAACAUGUCCUGUAGUGGGGGAUAGCCCGGCGAAAGCCGGAUUAAUACCGCAUACGAUCUACGGAUGAAAGCGGGGGACCUUCGGGCCUCGCGCUAUAGGGUUGGCCGAUAGCUGAUUAGCUAGUUGGUGGGGUAAAGGCCUACCAAGGCGACGAUCAGUAGCUGGUCUGAGAGGACGACCAGCCACACUGGGACUGAGACACGGCCCAGACUCCUACGGGAGGCAGCAGUGGGGAAUUUUGGACAAUGGGCGAAAGUCUGAUCCAGCAAUGCCGCGUGUGUGAAGAAGGCCUUCGGGUUGUAAAGCACUUUUGUCCGGAAAGAAAUCCUUGGCUCUAAUACAGUCGGGGGAUGACGGUACCGGAAGAAUAAGCACCGGCUAACUACGUG
rnacentral:rRNA from 1 species